UACGUAGGGGGCAAGCGUUGUCCGGAAUCAUUGGGCGUAAAGAGCGUGUAGGCGGCCCGGUAAGUCCGCUGUGAAAGUCGGGGGCUCAACCCUCGAAUGCCGGUGGAUACUGUCGGGCUAGAGUGCGGAAGAGGCGAGUGGAAUUCCUGGUGUAGCGGUGAAAUGCGCAGAUAUCAGGAGGAACACCGGUGGCGAAGGCGGGUCUCUGGGCCGAAACUGACGCUGAGGAGCGAAAGCGUGGGGAGCAAACAGG
rnacentral:rRNA from 1 species